UACGAAGGGGGCAAGCGUUGUUCGGAUUUACUGGGCGUACAGGGAGCGUAGGCGGUUCGAUAAGCCCUCCGUGAAAUCUCCAGGCUUAACCUGGAAAGUGCACAGGGGACUGUUCAGCUAGAGGAUGGGAGAGGAGCGCGGAAUUCCCGGUGUAGCGGUGAAAUGCGUAGAGAUCGGGAGGAAGGCCGGUGGCGAAGGCGGCGCUCUGGAACAUUUCUGACGCUGAGGCUCGAAAGCGUGGGGAGCAAACAGG
rnacentral:rRNA from 1 species